ACCCGCUGAACUUAAGCAUAUCAAUAAGCGGAGGAAAAGAAACCAACAGGGAUUGCCUCAGUAACGGCGAGUGAAGCGGCAAGAGUUCAAAUUUAAAAGCCGACGUAGCUUUAAGAGACGUCCGCAUUGUAAUUUGAAGAGGCAUUCUCGGGUCGGGGCUCAGGCCUAAGUUCCUUGGAAGAGGGCGUCGUGGAGGGUGAGAACCCCGUUCGCGGCCUGCUGUCGACCUUUCCCCGAUCCACACGAGGUGCCAUCGAAGAGUCGAGUUGUUUGGGAAUGCAGCUCAAAGCGGGUGGUAAAUUCCAUCUAAAGCUAAAUAUUGACGGGAGACCGAUAGCGAACAAGUAGAGUGAUCGAAAGAUGAAAAGCACUUUGGAAAGAGAGUUAAACAGCACGUGAAAUUGUUGAAAGGGAAGCGCUUGAGACCAGUCACGGACCGAGGCGAUCAGUGGGACGUCCCUCUCGGGGGAGGAACCGCGCACUCGCUUUUCGGGUUUUCCGGGUCAACAUCGGUUGGGACGGUGUCAGAAAGGUCGCGGGAACGUGGCUCCCUUCACGGGGAGUGUUAUAGCCCGUGGCGUCAAAGUCGCCAGUUUCGACCGAGGACCGCGCUCGUCUUUUUCGAGCAAGGAUGUUGACGUAAUGGUCCC
rnacentral:rRNA from 1 species